AGAGUGAGGUUUCACUCCCGUCUUGCAGCCCUGAGGACUCCUCAGUAUAGCCCCGCAUGGACCCGCCUUCACCUCGUCCAGAGAGCGGAGCUGGAGCUGGCUGUGUGCACUCCACGGCACAAGGGCCCCUUAAGGAGUGUGCGGAUUCUUUUACCACUGCGCGACUUGGGAAGCCCCAGUCCUCAUUUUGGAGCUCCCCGAAGACUUGAGAAUACAGAAGCCUUGUCAGUCGUCAAGAAAUUCUGGGAUACGAGAGAUGGGACAUUUCCUGCCGUAUCAGUGAACAAAGGGCAUCACAGUCAAGAGCAAUGACGGCCACCACGGCUGCUGAGCUGGUGAGCCCUGAGGGCACUCGGAAGGAAAGGACACGGCCGUCUAGCAGCCAUCAGAUUGCUGCCACACUGAGGGGCAAAGGAGGAGCGAGGUGGAUGAUGGGUUCCAGUCCCUAACAGCCAGUGUCAAAGGAGGAAGAUGAUCUUGGAUCGUCUGAAUGGGCCAAGCAAUAUCAAGA
ensembl:lncRNA